AUUGAACGCUGGCGGCAUGCUUUACACAUGCAAGUCGAACGGUAACAGGCCUUCGGGUGCUGACGAGUGGCGAACGGGUGAGUAAUGCAUCGGAACGUGUCCAGAGGUGGGGGAUAACGCAGCGAAAGCUGUGCUAAUUCCGCAUGUGAUCUGAGGAUGAAAGCGGGGGACCAGGCAGCAAUGUUUGGCCUCGCGCCUUUGGAGCGGCCGAUGUCAGAUUAGGUAGUUGGUGGGGUAAAGGCCUACCAAGCCGACGAUCUGUAGCUGGUCUGAGAGGACGACCAGCCACACUGGGACUGAGACACGGCCCAGACUCCUACGGGAGGCAGCAGUGGGGAAUUUUGGACAAUGGGCGCAAGCCUGAUCCAGCAAUGCCGCGUGCGGGAAGAAGGCCUUCGGGUUGUAAACCGCUUUUGUACGGAACGAAAAGGCUCUGGCUAAUACCUGGGGCUGAUGACGGUACCGAAAGAAUAAGCACCGGCUAACUACGUG
rnacentral:rRNA from 1 species